rnacentral:lncRNA from 1 species
GGACCCUUCUCGAUGACAAUCAAUGAUGAGACCAAGGAGCCCAAACAAAUAUGACAGUUAUACUCUGCUUGUAGCUCCUCGAUCUCAAAUCCUCAUGGAGAUCGAAAAGAGAGAAUAUGUGAGGAGACCCCCACCGAUGCGAGUCCCACCGCAUUCUCGCAAACAAAACAGAUACUGUCAGUUCCACUACGACCACGGAUACGACACUGACGACUGCAUCCAAUUGAAGGAUGAAAUUGAGAACCUCAACCAUAGAGGGUGUUGGGUAUAAAAUACCCACAGCCGAAGUCCUCAGUAGAAUCUACGCAAAUAGACUCCGCCC